UACAGAGGUCUCAAGCGUUGUUCGGAUUCAUUGGGCGUAAAGGGUGCGUAGGCGGCGCGGUAAGUCGGGUGUGAAAUCUCGGGGCUUAACUCCGAAACUGCAUUCGAUACUGCCGUGCUUGAGGACUGGAGAGGAGACUGGAAAUUUACGGUGUAGCGGUGAAAUGCGUAGAUAUCGUAAGGAAGACCAGUGGCGAAGGCGGGUCUCUGGACAGUUCCUGACGCUGAGGCACGAAGGCCAGGGGAGCAAACGGG
rnacentral:rRNA from 1 species